CAAAGAUGGCGGAGACGAUGUCACCUGAGAAUCGCCCUGUACAAAGAUGGCUGAGACGACGUCACCUGAGAAUCGCCCUGUACAGAGAUGGCUGAGACGACGUCACCUGAGAAUCGCCCUGUACAGAGAUGGCGGAGAGGACGUCACCUGAGAAUCUCCCUGUACAGAGAUGGCGGAGAGGACGUCACCUGAGAAUCUCCCUGUAGAGAGAUGGCGGAGAGGACGUCACCUGAGAAUCUCCCUGUACAGAGAUGGUGGAGAGGACGUCACCUGAGAAUCGCUCUGUACAGAGAUGGUGGAGAGGACGUCACCUGAGAAUCGCCCU